rnacentral:rRNA from 2 species
CGGGACACGUGGUAUCCUGUCUGAAUAUGGGGGGACCAUCCUCCAAGGCUAAAUACUCCUGACUGACCGAUAGUGAACCAGUACCGUGAGGGAAAGGCGAAAAGAACCCCGGCGAGGGGAGUGAAAAAGAACCUGAAACCGUGUACGUACAAGCAGUGGGAGCACAGAGCAAUCUGUGUGACUGCGUACCUUUUGUAUAAUGGGUCAGCGACUUAUAUUCUGUAGCAAGGUUAACCGAAUAGGGGAGCCGAAGGGAAACCGAGUCUUAACCGGGCGUUAAGUUGCAGGGUAUAGACCCGAAACCCGGUGAUCUAGCCAUGGGCAGGUUGAAGGUUGGGUAACACUAACUGGAGGACCGAACCGACUAAUGUUGAAAAAUUAGCGGAUGACUUGUGGCUGGGGGUGAAAGGCCAAUCAAACCGGGAGAUAGCUGGUUCUCCCCGAAAGCUAUUUAGGUAGCGCCUCGUGAAUUCAUCUCCGGGGGUAGAGCACUGUUUCGGCAAGGGGGUCAUCCCGACUUACCAACCCGAUGCAAACUGCGAAUACCGGAGAAUGUUAUCACGGGAGACACACGGCGGGUGCUAACGUCCGUCGUGAAGAGGGAAACAACCCAGACCGCCAGCUAAGGUCCCAAAGUCAUGGUUAAGUGGGAAACGAUGUGGGAAGGCCCAGACAGCCAGGAUGUUGGCUUAGAAGCAGCCAUCAUUUAAAGAAAGCGUAAUAGCUCACUGGUCGAGUCGGCCUGCGCGGAAGAUGUAACGGGGCUAAACCAUGCACCGAAGCUGCGGCAGCGACACUGUGUGUUGUUGGGUAGGGGAGCGUUCUGUAAGCCUGUGAAGGUGUGCUGUGAGGCAUGCUGGAGGUAUCAGAAGUGCGAAUGCUGACAUAAGUAACGAUAAAGCGGGUGAAAAGCCCGCUCGCCGGAAGACCAAGGGUUCCUGUCCAACGUUAAUCGGGGCAGGGUGAGUCGACCCCUAAGGCGAGGCCGAAAGGCGUAGUCGAUGGGAAACAGGUUAAUAUUCCUGUACUUGGUGUUACUGCGAAGGGGGGACGGAGAAGGCUAUGUUGGCCGGGCGACGGUUGUCCCGGUUUAAGCGUGUAGGCUGGUUUUCCAGGCAAAUCCGGAAAAUCAAGGCUGAGGCGUGAUGACGAGGCACUACGGUGCUGAAGCAACAAAUGCCCUGCUUCCAGGAAAAGCCUCUAAGCAUCAGGUAACAUCAAAUCGUACCCCAAACCGACACAGGUGGUCAGGUAGAGAAUACCAAGGCGCUUGAGAGAACUCGGGUGAAGGAACUAGGCAAAAUGGUGCCGUAACUUCGGGAGAAGGCACGCUGAUAUGUAGGUGAAGUCCCUCGCGGAUGGAGCUGAAAUCAGUCGAAGAUACCAGCUGGCUGCAACUGUUUAUUAAAAACACAGCACUGUGCAAACACGAAAGUGGACGUAUACGGUGUGACGCCUGCCCGGUGCCGGAAGGUUAAUUGAUGGGGUCAGCGCAAGCGAAGCUCUUGAUCGAAGCCCCGGUAAACGGCGGCCGUAACUAUAACGGUCCUAAGGUAGCGAAAUUCCUUGUCGGGUAAGUUCCGACCUGCACGAAUGGCGUAAUGAUGGCCAGGCUGUCUCCACCCGAGACUCAGUGAAAUUGAACUCGCUGUGAAGAUGCAGUGUACCCGCGGCAAGACGGAAAGACCCCGUGAACCUUUACUAUAGCUUGACACUGAACAUUGAGCCUUGAUGUGUAGGAUAGGUGGGAGGCUUUGAAGUGUGGACGCCAGUCUGCAUGGAGCCGACCUUGAAAUACCACCCUUUAAUGUUUGAUGUUCUAACGUGGACCCGUGAUCCGGGUUGCGGACAGUGUCUGGUGGGUAGUUUGACUGGGGCGGUCUCCUCCUAAAGAGUAACGGAGGAGCACGAAGGUUGGCUAAUCCUGGUCGGACAUCAGGAGGUUAGUGCAAUGGCAUAAGCCAGCUUGACUGCGAGCGUGACGGCGCGAGCAGGUGCGAAAGCAGGUCAUAGUGAUCCGGUGGUUCUGAAUGGAAGGGCCAUCGCUCAACGGAUAAAAGGUACUCCGGGGAUAACAGGCUGAUACCGCCCAAGAGUUCAUAUCGACGGCGGUGUUUGGCACCUCGAUGUCGGCUCAUCACAUCCUGGGGCUGAAGUAGGUCCCAAGGGUAUGGCUGUUCGCCAUUUAAAGUGGUACGCGAGCUGGGUUUAGAACGUCGUGAGACAGUUCGGUCCCUAUCUGCCGUGGGCGCUGGAGAACUGAGGGGGGCUGCUCCUAGUACGAGAGGACCGGAGUGGACGCAUCACUGGUGUUCGGGUUGUCAUGCCAAUGGCACUGCCCGGUAGCUAAAUGCGGAAGAGAUAAGUGCUGAAAGCAUCUAAGCACGAAACUUGCCCCGAGAUGAGUUCUCCCUGACCCUUUAAGGGUCCUGAAGGAACGUUGAAGACGACGACGUUGAUAGGCCGGGUGUGUAAGCGCAGCGAUGCGUUGAGCUAACCGGUACUAAUGAACCGUGAGGCUUAACCUU